UACGUAGGGUGCGAGCGUUGUCCGGAAUUAUUGGGCGUAAAGAGCUCGUAGGCGGUGUGUCGCGUCGGCCGUGAAAACCUGCAGCUCAACUGUGGGCGUGCGGUCGAUACGGGCAUCACUGGAGUUCGGCAGGGGAGACUGGAAUUCCUGGUGUAGCGGUGAAAUGCGCAGAUAUCAGGAGGAACACCGGUGGCGAAGGCGGGUCUCUGGGCCGAUACUGACGCUGAGGAGCGAAAGCGUGGGGAGCGAACAGG
rnacentral:rRNA from 1 species